CUAACGAAUGCUAGUGCUGUGUUUCUAGCUGCUGCUGGUUCAGUUUGUGAGGGUCAGUGCUCAACAGCAGCCCCUGUGACAGAUCCAAGCGAUAUGGGAAAUUGUUGCAAGAAAACAGAGAACAUUAAUUGAGACAAAAAGCAGUGAACUUUGACUCAGUUACUCCAACAUAUAAAUGCAAAUUUUGAUGUCUGGUAGCGUCCCUGCCUCUGAGUUGAAAAAUCAUGGUGAGCAGAGACAAGAGAACAUGGUCGCAACUUUCGGCUCUUUAGUGCCACUGGUACCAGCACUACCAAAGUCCAGACAUCUAAAAAAGAAAGGAAGAUAACCAAGAAUUGAAUGAACAGAAGGAUACCAAAGCAACAAAAAAUGAAGAAAUCUUGUAUGCCACAAUAGAACACAGUAACCCAAGUGCUUCUAAUGAACAGAAUGCAAGGAGUGACAACACUUGUGAAUAUGCAGUGAUUAACUACAAUUGUAAGCAAGAAACCAUCACUUCAGAACAAGACACUCAAGAGUAUGAGGAAGUGAUACCCAACUAAUGGAUUGUAAAAGAAAAACAGUUUCAUAUGGAUACAGUUUAUCAGCUGCAUUGUAAUAGUGCAGUUUGCUCAGCUUUGCUGGUGAUUAUAGAAGCAACAAAUGCUGUUUAGUGACUUUAUCACUGAGGCCAGAGAAUUAUUUCAUUGCUAAGUUGUUUUGGCAGAGGACGAGUUAAAAAUGAGAAUUGUUUUUAUGUUUUCUUUGUGGGAUUGGACUGUAAUGUUUUUUAGGGAAGGAGUAGAUCUCCCCAUUCUCCUGCCUCAUCUUUAUCUUUCAUUCCUGCUGACAACCAGACAUCAAUUAACACAAUAGCCCAGGUUUUGGGGUCAGUUGCAAUGCAACAACAAUCACUGUUGACCUUGAAGAGAGCUACCGACAAAGAUCUAGUGAUUCCUGUAAACUGAUUUCCCCUUUCCUGAGGUUAGUUUGACCCUAGAGCCAUGUCAAGGGAAUUCUCACAGACUACAAACCUGGCAGUAAAAUGCACUGAUUAUCCUUCACUCGUUAUAAAUUUCACAUGGAGCAAAAUAAAAGGCAGAAUUUUGCCCUUGUCAAGUGGGUCUGGCGGGCGUGCCUGGGAGUGGUCACAAAGCCGACCGCUGCCCACAAUCGGGCUCCAACUACGAUUUCACGCUGACUGGCCAAUUACCGGCCAGCCAAUGUGAAUCAUGCACUGCAGCGUUCAGCGUCGUCAGGGUGGGAGCAGGAGAAGGCCGAGCACGGAAGUGCAUGCAUGUGUGGGGGUGCGUGCAAUAAAGGCACAGAGCUGCCUCAGGGAGCUGAAGAUUUUUAACAAUAAAAAUAAAGAUAUUAAAAAUAAUGAAAACAUGUCCCCUCAUGUGACUCUGUCACAUGAGCAAGGACAUGUUAAAUGUGAGUGUUAAAUGUUUUAAAUGUUUUUUUUCAGUCACUGGUCGAAACCUCUCUAUCCGUGGAUGAGGUCUCGCCAAAAAUGCAAAGGCCACCAGCCCUUUUUGCUCACCUGCCAACAGGACAUUUGGACAGACAGCGAAAAAAUUGAGUCAAUUGAGUGAUUGAUUAAAGCCCUUAGUAGGCCUCUUAAUUGACAGUGGGCAGACUGCCGACUCCCGCAGGCGCCUGCCUACCGAUAUAUUGCUCGAGUGCGCGAUGAUGUUGCCCAACGUCAUUUUACGUUCCCUCGGGCCGGGUGUGCGCCCGCCCAACAAGAGAAAAAUUUUGCCAAAAGCGUGGGACUUCAAAGCUGAAAUAUCAUUAACUUUAAAAAAAUAUAUAUUGAAUUUGUAUCAUAAUGGAAAAAAUUGACAUUACACAAUAUAAAAUUAGUUUUCCAGGGACAGUAAAGUUCUUCAGCGAUAAUUGUGGCUUAAUACAUGAUUUAAAACCCAGUUGCAUUGUACUAACUGGGCAUAACUUUUUGGGUUUUUAAACAGCAAUCUUACAGCGUAAAAGGGGAAGUUUGGUUUGAUAAAGUGACUUUUAAAGAUUGCCAUCUAUAAACAGCUCACCCAAUGGAGGAGCAAGGAAUCACUGACAGCAACUUCUGAUUUUUCACGUUGAACUGCGCAUGCACAGACACCAAAAGUUGCUGUGAAUUUCACAGUUGCAAUGAUGGCUGAUAGUUUUGCCAUCAUUACAACCGCAUAACCCAGGCCAAUUAGCCCUCUACAAUGAGAUGCUAUUUGAUUCCAGAUGAUAUGUAAUUGGACCAAACUACAGAGGAAUCUAAGAUCGUGAAAACUAACUUAAUUUUUACAGUGUCCUUCAGAUGGAUACGCAAGUGAUUCACUGAUAGAUUUGGUGACGUAUUCACUUUCUAUUCAUUCACUUUGUAUAUAAUUCCUGUCUCAAGUAUAAAAUGUAUUUAAUCAUCUGCUUUUUUAAUGCUCAAUGUGCUCAAUGCAGUCAACCCUGCCUGCAUUUCACCUAGAGACACUAGUGUAAUUUAGAGUGAAACCUUUUUGCACCUCAAUAUUUUCUAUUUUUGUUUUGGUUCAAAUGGGAUAAGACAUGAUUUGUAAAGUGUUUUCUCUUUUGCCUGUAGUUUAUAGAAAUCCACGCCCAAGCAUAUUAGUUCUUAGCAAGGGAAUUAUGGAAAUGAAAUUGUCCUUAGGGAGUAGAACAAAAUGGGCAAUGACAAAAUGCAGUCCAUUAUACACCCGGCUGAUUUUCUUUUCCAUUUCAGUUAUUGAAGCAAGUUUUAAAAGCGAGCCGAUGGUUUGCUAUCGCCCACUACCCAAGGUUGAUUUUACCUUCUAUAGAUUUAUUGGGAUUUGAGUGUGUAUUUUAAGGAAGAAAGCAUCUGUUACCCUUCAUUCAAAUUUGAAUUUUAAAAAAUAUGGACGGUUUUCUAAAAUGAUUGUAGCACAGAUUCCUAGUGAUAGUCUGGUCUCUUCACACAGAAGCGAGGCUGUUAACAAAACUAUUUUGUAAACUAGUAACAGUUUUUCUGCAUUUUGUGUGCGGUUGAGUAAAAAUUGAAAAUAUGAAGAUUUAUGUUAUUUUAAAUCCUAGACUUCUUGUGUUCCAAUAUCUGAAAUAAUAUUUGUAUUUUGAAGCAAAUGGAUAAUACCAAUGCAACCUA